rnacentral:rRNA from 1 species
GACGAACCGAGCGAACGUUGUUCGGAAUCACUGGGCUUAAAGGGCGCGUAGGCGGGCUGUCAAGUCUGGGGUGAAAUCUCGCGGCUCAACCGCGGAACUGCCUCAGAUACUGACGGCCUCGAGGGGGGUAGGGGCGAGCGGAACGGGUGGUGGAGCGGUGAAAUGCGUUGAUAUCACUCGGAACUCCGGUGGCGAAGGCGGCUCGCUGGACCUUUUCUGACGCUGAGGCGCGAAAGCUAGGGGAGCAAACGGG